UACGUAGGGUGCGAGCGUUAAUCGGAAUUACUGGGCGUAAAGCGUGCGCAGGCGGUUUUGUAAGCCAGAUGUGAAAUCCCCGGGCUUAACCUGGGAAUGGCAUUUGGGACUGCAAGGCUUGAGUGCGGCAGAGGAGACUGGAAUUCCUGAUGUAGCAGUGAAAUGCGUAGAGAUCGGGAGGAACACCAGAGGCAAAAGCGGCGACCUGGACAAGUACUGACACUCAACUACGAAAGCGUGGGGAGCAAACAGG
rnacentral:rRNA from 1 species